UACAGAGGGUGCAAGCGUUGUUCGGAAUUAUUGGGCGUAAAGCGCGUGUAGGCGGCUUUGCAAGUCGGGUGUGAAAGCCCUCAGCUCAACUGAGGAGGUGCGCCCGAAACUGCAGAGCUUGAGUGCCGGAGAGGGUGGCGGAAUUCCCCAAGUAGAGGUGAAAUUCGUAGAUAUGGGGAGGAACACCGGUGGCGAAGGCGGCCACCUGGACGGUAACUGACGCUGAGACGCGAAAGCGUGGGGAGCAAACAGG
rnacentral:rRNA from 1 species